rnacentral:rRNA from 1 species
GGAUGAACGCUGGCGGUGCGCCUAACACAUGCAAGUCGAACGCGAACCAUUUAGAUUACUUUGAAGGGCUUGCCUGGAUGAGUAUGAAAUUUUCGGUUUGAGUGGCGAACGAGAGAGUAAUGUAUUGGUAUCUCCCCCCAAGUCAGGGAUAGCCCAUCGAAAGAUGGAUUAAUACCGGAUAGUCCCGCAAGGGUAAAGCAGCAAUGCGCUCGGGGAAGAGCCUGUAUCCUAUCAGCUAGUUGGCGGGGUAAUAGCCCACCAAGGCAAUGACGGGUAGCUGGUCUGAGAGGACGACCAGCCUCGAUGGAACUGAGACACGGUCCAUACACCUACGGGUGGCAGCAGUGAGGAAUCUUCCACAAUGGACGAAAGUCUGAUGGAGCGACACCGCGUGAAGGAUGAAGGUUUUGUUAUUGUAAACUUCUUUUCUCAGGGACGAUAAUGACGGUACCUGAGGAAUAAGGGACGGCUAACUAUGUGCCAGCAGCCGCGGUAAUACAUAGGUCCCAAGCGUUAUCCGGAAUUACUGGGCGUAAAGCGUCUGCAGGUGGAAAAGUGUGUGAGACGUGAAAGACCGGGGCUCAACCCCGUGUUUGUGUCUCAAACUGCUUUUCUUGAGUGAGCAAGAGGUAUGCGGAAUUUAUGGAGUAGGAGUGCAAUCCGUUGACACCAUAAAGAACACCAAAAGCGAAGGCAGCAUACUGGGGCUCUACUGACACUCAGAGACGAAAGCGUGGGGAGCGAAAGGGAUUAGAUACCCCUGUAGUCCACGCCCUAAACUAUGAUGACUAGGUGUUGGUCCUUCGGGAUCAGUGCCGUAGCUAACGCGUUAAGUCAUCCGCCUGAGUAGAGAUCGGAAGAGCACACGUCUGAACUCCAGUCACACAGUGAUCUCGU